rnacentral:rRNA from 1 species
GACGAACGCUGGCGGCGUGCUUAACACAUGCAAGUCGAACGGAAAGGCCCUGCUUUUGUGGGGUGCUCGAGUGGCGAACGGGUGAGUAACACGUGAGUAACCUGCCCUUGACUUUGGGAUAACUUCAGGAAACUGGGGCUAAUACCGGAUAGGAGCUCCUGCUGCAUGGUGGGGGUUGGAAAGUUUCGGCGGUUGGGGAUGGACUCGCGGCUUAUCAGCUUGUUGGUGGGGUAGUGGCUUACCAAGGCUUUGACGGGUAGCCGGCCUGAGAGGGUGACCGGCCAAAUGGGGAAUGGGAAAGGGCCCAGACCCCAAGGGGGGGCAGGAGGGGGGAAAAUGGCAAAAGGGGGGGAAGCCGGAGGCAGAAACGCCGGGGGGGGGAGGACGGCCUUGGGGUGGUAAACCGCUUUCGCCUGGGACGAAGGGGGGGUGACGGUAAUGGGGAAAGAAGCACCGGCAAACUACGU